CCUACGGGCGGCAGCAGUGAGGAAUAUUGGUCAAUGGGCGGGAGCCUGAACCAGCCAAGUAGCGUGAAGGAUGAAUGCCCUACGGGUCGUAAACCUCUUUUGUAAAGGAAUAAAGUGUGGCACGUGUGCCCUUUUGUAUGUACUUUAUGAAUAAGGAUCGGCUAACUCCGUGCCAGCAGCCGCGGUAAUACGGAGGAUCCGAGCGUUAUCCGGAUUUAUUGGGUUUAAAGGGAGCGGAGAUGGGUUGUUAAGUCAGUGGGGAAAGUUUGCGGCUCAACCGUAAAACUGCAAUUGAUACGGGCAGCCUUGAGUUGAGUUGAGGUAGGCGGAAUUCGUGGUGUAGCGGUGAAAUGCUUAGAUAUCACGAAGAACUCCGAUUGCGAAGGCAGCCUACUAACCUCCCACUGACAUUGAUGCUCGAAAGUGUGGGUAUCAAACAGGAUUAGAUACCCGAGUAGUC
rnacentral:rRNA from 1 species